ACCCCACAAUGGCGCCACUUCCCCGUAGUGUGGGGUGGUAACUCACCCAUAUGGGUGAGGCUAAGCGCGCCA
rnacentral:ribozyme from 1 species